rnacentral:rRNA from 1 species
AACGAACGCUGGCGGCAGGCUUAACACAUGCAAGUCGAGCGCCCCGCAAGGGGAGCGGCAGACGGGUGAGUAACGCGUGGGAAUCUACCGAGCCCUAAGGAAUAGCUCCGGGAAACUGGAAUUAAUACCUUAUACGCCCUUUGGGGGAAAGAUUUAUCGGGGUUUGAUGAGCCCGCGUUGGAUUAGCUAGUUGGUGGGGUAAAGGCCUACCAAGGCGACGAUCCAUAGCUGGUCUGAGAGGAUGAUCAGCCACAUUGGGACUGAGACACGGCCCAAACUCCUACGGGAGGCAGCAGUGGGGAAUAUUGGACAAUGGGCGCAAGCCUGAUCCAGCAAUGCCGCGUGAGUGAUGAAGGCCUUAGGGUUGUAAAGCUCUUUCGCACGCGACGAUGAUGACGGUAGCGUGAGAAGAAGCCCCGGCUAACUUCGUGCCAGCCGCCGCUGUAAGAC